UGGUCUUUUAUCAUCAUUGCCCAACACAUAGGACAUGUAUAUAUUUUGGAUUCAACAAAGAUAAAAAGGCGAAAAGAAUGCUUCUAACUAUCAUCUUUCAAGCAUAAUUCCUACCGCCUUAGGAUCCGAGUUCAACUACACAAUGGUUGAUUGUAAGCAACAAAAGGGUGGAUGGGAAUGCGGCUACAUGGUUCUCCAACAUAUGUUUGACUUUGUCAAUUUGUAUCAAAACCAAUUUCCCGAUGAAAUGUGGCACGACAC